rnacentral:rRNA from 1 species
GUGCCAGCAGCCGCGGUAAGACAGAGGUGGCAAGCGUUGCUCGGAGUUACUGGGCUUAAAGGGCGCGUAGGCGGCCGUGCACGUCGGAGGUGAAAUCCCCGGGCUCAACCCGGGAACUGCCCCCGAUACGGCGCGGCUGGAGUGCGGGAGGGGAGAGUGGAACUCCUGGUGGAGCGGUGAAAUGCGUAGAUAUCAGGAGGAACGCCGGUGGCGAAAGCGACUCUCUGGUCCGCAACUGACGCUGAGGCGCGAAAGCCAGGGGAGCAAACGGGAUUAGAUACCCUCGUAGUCC